rnacentral:rRNA from 1 species
GUGCAGCAGGCGCGAAAACUUUACAAUGUGCGAAAGCACGAUAAGGGAACUCUGAGUGCCUCCUAAGGAGGCUGUUCAGGUGUCUAAAAAGCACCUGAAGGAAGGGCUGGGUAAGACCGGUGCCAGCCGCCGCGGUAACACCGGCAGCCCAAGUGGUAGCCACGUUUAUUGGGUCUAAAGCGUCCGUAGCCGGCUGGGUAAGUUCCUUGGGAAAUUUGGCUGCUUAACAGUCAAGCUUUCAGGGAUACUGCUCGGCUUGGGACCGGGAGAGGUCAGAGGUACUCCGAGGGGUAGGGGUGAAAUCCAUUAAUCCGUUGGGGGACCACCGGUAGCGAAGGCGUCUGACCAGGACCGGGU